rnacentral:rRNA from 1 species
UGGGGAAUAUUGCACAAUGGGCGAAAGCCUGAUGCAGCAACGCCGCGUGAGUGAUGAAGGCCUUCGGGUUGUAAAGCUCUGUCUUCUGGGACGAUAAUGACGGUACCAGAGGAGGAAGCCACGGCUAACUACGUGCCAGCAGCCGCGGUAAUACGUAGGGACCAAGCGUUGUUCGGAUUUACUGGGCGUAAAGGGCGCGUAGGCGGCAAUUCAAGUCAGCUGUGAAAUCUCUGGGCUUAACCCGGAACGGCCAGCUGAUACUGCUUUGCUAGAGUGCGGAAGGGGCAAUCGGAAUUCUUGGUGUAGCGGUAAAAUGCGUAGAUAUCAAGAGGAACACCUGAGGUGAAGACGGGUUGCUGGGCCGACACUGACGCUGAGGCGCGAAAGCCAGGGGAGCAAACG